UAUUUUUCAAUAACAGAAGGAUAAUCGUUUGUAAGGGGACAACUAAAUUACGCAUUCUUCGAACGUCAACGGGUAAGCAUCCACAUUGGAGCACAGUUCAAGGAGUUCGACUGCGAUUAAGAUUUUCUGUAAGAAAUUAUGCUCGAUCAUAGGCCGCAGAUCUAUCUCUUCGUCUAGCGUUAACUGCCCGGCGCUGUCACCGUGAUUAACGAUACACGUAGGCUUCCGAGUCCUUCCUGGGUAAGAUAAAUGCCAACGACAUUAGACGAACUCAUUCAAUGAUCCAGAAACUCGUAACAAUGGACUUGACAGAAUUAA